rnacentral:rRNA from 1 species
GCUAUUGGAGUUCGAUUAAGCCAUGCGAGUCGAGAGUCCUCGGGACUCGGCGUACCGCUCAGUAACGCGUGGGUAACCUGCCCUAUGCUGGGGAAUAACCUCGGGAAACUGAGAAUAAUGCCCCAUAGCCCACUACGCCUGGAACGGUGAGUGGGUCAAAGCUCCGGCGGCAUAGGAUGGGCCUGCGCCGUAUCAGGUUGUAGGGGGUGUAAAGUACCCUCUAGCCAUCAACGCGUACGGGUGUUGGGAGACAUUGCCCGGAGAUGGAUUCUGAGACACGAAUCCAGACCCUACGGGGUGCAGCAGGCGCGAAAACUUGGCAAUGCGAGCAAUCGUGACCAGGGAACUCCAAGUGCGUAGGGUAAGACCUACGCUUUUCUUGACUCUUCAAAGGUCUUGGAAUAAGGGGUGGGUAAGGACGGUGCCAGCCGCCGCGGUAAUACCGGCGCCUCAAGUGGUAGUCGCUUUUAUUGGGCCUAAAACGUCCGUAGCCGGUCUGGUGCAUUCGUGGGUAAAUCAACCCGCUCAACGGGUUGAAUUCUGCGAGCACGGCCAGACUUGGGACCGGGAGAGGUGUGGGGUACUCUCAGGGUAGGGGUAAAAUCCUGUCAUCCUGAGAGGACCACCUGUUGCGAAGGCGCCACACUAGAACGGAUCCGACGGUCAGGGACGAAACCUAGGGGCACGAACCGGAUUAGAUACCCGGGUAGUCCUAGGUGUAAACGCUGUGGACUUGAUGUUGGGGGCGCUCCGAGCGCUCUCAGUGUCGAAGCGAAGGUGAUAAGUCCACUGCCUGGGGAGUACGGUCGCAAGGCUGAAACUUAAAGGAAUUGGCGGGGGAGCACUGC